rnacentral:rRNA from 1 species
CCUUCCGUAGGUGAACCUGCGGAAGGAUCAUUAAAUUACGAUAGCAACACCCCUUCGGGGGCUGUCGCAGCCACCCUUUGCCUACUUGUACCUCUUGUUGUUUCCUCGGCAGGCUUGCCUGCCGCUAGGAACCCUCUAAACCCUCUGUAUCUAACGUAUGAAAAUCUGAUAACCACGUAAAUUAUUACAACUUUCAACAAUGGAUCUCUUGGUUCUGGCAUCGAUGAAGAACGCAGCGAAAUGCGAAAAGUAGUGUGAAUUGCAGAAUUCCGUGAAUCAUCGAAUCUUUGAACGCACAUUGCGCCCCUCGGUAUUCCGUGGGGCAUGCCUGUUCGAGCGUCAUUUACACCCUCAAGCUCUGCUUGGUGUUGGGCGUCUGUCCCGCUUUCGUGCGCGGACUCGCCCCAAAGUCAUUGGCAGCGGUCGUGCCGGUUUCUCGCGCAGCACAUUUGCGCUUCUCGAAGCCCGGUGGAUCAGCAUCCAGCAAGCCCUUUUCAUGACUUGACCUCGGAUCAGGUAGGGAUACCCGCUGAACUUAAGCAUAUCAAUAAGCGGAGGAA